rnacentral:rRNA from 1 species
UACGUAGGGUCCGAGCGUUGUCCGGAAUUAUUGGGCGUAAAGAGCUCGUAGGCGGUUUGUUGCGUCGGCUGUGAAAUCCCGAGGCUCAACCUCGGGUCUGCAGUCGAUACGAGCAAACUAGAGUGUUGCAGGGGAGACUGGAAUUCCUGGUGUAGCGGUGAAAUGCGUAGAUAUCUGGAGGAACACCGGUGGCGAAGGCGGCAUCCUGGACCGAUACUGACGCUGAGGAGCGAAAGCCAGGGGAGCAAACGGG